AAGUCGUAACAAGGUUUCCGUAGGUGAACCUGCGGAAGGAUCAUUAACACGUAUCCAAACGUUAAACCCCCCUGUGAACCUUCAGUCGUACUCGUACGUCCGUUAGAAAAAGCAGCAAUCCCUGGUAAAUCAUCGCCGAACAGUUUUCGAUUCAGGGAGUUGUGCGUGUAAGUGGCCUGGCAUCCCCAAGCAGUUAGUGUCUGAAAGUGUCACUAACGUUAGUGUCUGAAAGUGUCACUAACAUGUGUAAGGAUGACGCAGUCACGAUCGUUGGAGGCCCACACGGCCGACGACCGGGUCACCGGGUGCAAGCCCCCUUAUCACACCCCUGCUCUAUCUAUGGUGAUCCUGCGGGAAGUCCUGCGGUCGAACGCCGAAACCGAACAACUGUUAACAAUGGAUAUCUUGGUUCUC
rnacentral:misc_RNA from 1 species